rnacentral:rRNA from 1 species
GACGAACGCUGGCGGCGUGCCUAAUACAUGCAAGUCGAACGCAGUGGGGACGGGUGCGUAACACGUGGGUAACCUCCCAUCAGAGGGGAUAACACUUGGAAACAGGUGCUAAACCGGUACUGAUGGAUGGACCCGCGGUGCAUUAGCUAGUUGGGGAGGUAACGGGUCACCAAGGCCACGAUGCAUAACCGUCCUGAAGGUGUGAUCGGUCACACUGGGACUGAGACACGGCCCAGACUCCGACGGGAGGCAGCAGUAGGGAAUCUUGGGCAAUGGACGAAAGUCUGACCGAGCAACGCCGCAUGAGUGAAGAAGGUUUUCGGAUCGUAAAACUCUGUUGUUAGAGAAGCGGUAUCUAACCAGAAAGCCACGGCUAACUACGUGCCAGCCGCCGCGGUGAUAC